UGGGGGAUAUUGCACAAUGGGCGAAAGCCUGAUGCAGCGACGCCGCGUGGGGGAUGAAGGCUUACGGGUUGUAAACCUCUUUCGCUAUCGAACAAGGCCCGCUUAGGGUGGGUUGAGGGUAGGUGGAGAAGAAGCGCCGGCUAACUACGUGCCAGCAGCCGCGGUAAUACGUAGGGCGCGAGCGUUGUCCGGAAUUAUUGGGCGUAAAGGGCUUGUAGGCGGCUUGUUGCGCCUGCUGUGAAAACGCGGGGCUUAACUUCGCGCGUGCAGUGGGUACGGGCAGGCUUGAGUGUGGUAGGGGUGACUGGAAUUCCAGGUGUAGCGGUGGAAUGCGCAGAUAUCUGGAGGAACACCGAUGGCGAAGGCAGGUCACUGGGCCAUUACUGACGCUGAGGAGCGAAAGCAUGGGUAGCGAACAGG
rnacentral:rRNA from 1 species